UAGUCCGCCGCCCCAUAUAUCAACUCAACUCAUCUUCCAAGCAGAGAAAUAACGAUACUUUGCCUUAUUCAUAGUAGGUCUGCCGUAUUCACCAUCUCCAUCUUCACUAGUAAUCCAAGGUUUUAUGAGAUUCGUCGGAUCAACUUUGGUGUAUUCAUCGGAUCAACAUUCUACCUCCCAAUUACUCAACCAAUUGUUAUGAUUUAUGAUUUUUUAACCAUAAUAUUUUUUGUAUUUACAAAGUGUGUGGUCUGAUUUAUGUCUAGUUAAUGUCUGCAAGUUCCUCUUUUCAUUCUGAUAUUUUUGAUGGAGUUGUUAGAAGGAAUUUAUUAUUUGAGUUACUCUCUUGCAAGUAGAUCUGAAAAUUAUAUGUUCAUGUGAGAAUUGUUUUGAGUGUUAUUAUUCAAUAGAAAGAUGAUUGGAUUGAAGAAACAAAACACAUUCAACUUGAGUGAAGAAAAUUUAGAAAAUAUCUAGAUUUUUCAAACUUGUUUCAUGAAAAGUGUGCAUGAUUUUUUAGCUACACUUCUAUCCAAAUGCUAUUUAUUAUUUUGGGAAAACUCUUGACUAGUGUACUUUAAAGUGAGUUCUUUUGUUGCUUAAAGCGAGAAGCAAACUGGAAGUCGUAUCUCUUCUUUCUCUACCAUACCAUGUCUUGUCUAUGUUUUUUUGAUGUUCUGUCUCUAUUUCAUUACUUAGUUUUUUUAAGAAAUUCAAAAAUUUGGGUUAAUGUAUUGUUUCUGUUGAGUGCUUUGUUUUCAUAUAUUAUAUGUAGAUUUGAUAGAUCUUAUGAAUUGAAAGAUUCUUAUAGUUUGAAAAGUGUGUAUUUUGCUUCAUGCUUCUCGCUUCAACGAAGCUUGCGGCUUCAGUGAACCUUUUCCUUAUCGCUUUUCAUCUCAAUGAAGUGAGCCCUAGUCAAUUGAUCUUAGUUGUAGUUGUUAACAAUCCAUUAUAGGUACUGAUGUUGUCAUAAUAUGAAGCUGCUUAGAUAUUGUAUAUUGUGUGAAUGUACUUAUAAAACUUAUGUAUUUAUCAGUUUUGAGUAACAUGAAUUGCAAUAAGAAACUCUAAAAACUUGAAUUGUCAAAAGCUCAAAUAAGUAAGUAGGGGCUACAAAAUCAUAUUUAGUUUUCGUAAUUUCUACUCUAACAUGAAUAUCUUAAGCAGCAAUUCUUAGAAUAUUCAUUUUUUGAUUGUUCCUUUCUAACCAUAAAUGGUACAUACAAUCUCUGCUUGUAAUAUCAUAAAGAUUGCAGGUUAACUAGAAUUGUUUCUAGCACUUUGUAUAGCCCAACUAACCUCAACACAUCACCCCAUAGACAUUUGACACAUCCUAAGGCAUGUUAGAGAUACACAUUGGUUCUCCUGUUCGAUAAGGAAGUAAAUGUAGUGUUUGAUGUCCCUGCUGAAAAGAUUUAAAGUGGCUUACAUAUAAUGUGCAUCUGCAACAUUUAAUCCACCAGUAUCUGCUUCCAAAGGGUGUUAUUCAAGCCUGAUAUAUUUUCUGGACCAGCAUAUUCUAAAUGAUAUAGCCAUUCUCUGCAUCUUUGCACUUGCAGGUUCUCUGUUUGACUACCCUCUUCUGACUGAUUGUUCUGGACUAAAGGAUAGCAGUAUAUCGACACUUAAAGAGAAGGUGCUCAACUGUAUCAAGUAGCUGCUACAUAGCAUGACACACAAUCAGGUCACAAUCAAAUCAGUUUGUUAGCCUCAUUUAAGACGUCUACAUAAACCUUAGGUGCAUUACGAUUAGAAGCCCUAAAUACAUGAACUGUCUUAAGCUUAAAUAUGUAAAAAUAGGUGCUACCUCAAACAUAAAUAUUUGUGAUAACCCUUCUUCAAACUUUCUUUAAUGAGCAAGCUUUACCUAGAA